UGGUGGAGCGAUUUGUCUGCUUAAUUGCGAUAACGAACGAGACCUUAACCUGCUAAAUAGCCAGGCGAGCCUUGGCUCGUCGCCGGCUUCUUAGAGGGACUAUCGGCUCAAGCCGAUGGAAGUUUGAGGCAAUAACA
rnacentral:rRNA from 1 species